UGGGGAAUAUUGGACAAUGGGCGAAAGCCUGAUCCAGCCAUGCCGCGUGUGUGAAGAAGGUCUUCGGAUUGUAAAGCACUUUAAGUUGGGAGGAAGGGCAGUAAGCGAAUACCUUGCUGUUUUGACGUUACCGACAGAAUAAGCACCGGCUAACUCUGUGCCAGCAGCCGCGGUAAUACAGAGGGUGCAAGCGUUAAUCGGAAUUACUGGGCGUAAAGCGCGCGUAGGUGGUUCGUUAAGUUGAAUGUGAAAGCCCCGGGCUCAACCUGGGAACGGCAUCCAAAACGGGCGAGCUAGAGUAGGGCAGAGGGUGGUGGAAUUUCCUGUGUAGCGGUGAAAUGCGUAGAUAUAGGAAGGAACACCAGUGGCGAAGGCGACCACCUGGGCUCAUACUGACACUGAGGUGCGAAAGCGUGGGGAGCAAACAGG
rnacentral:rRNA from 1 species